UACGAAGGGGGCUAGCGUUGCUCGGAAUCACUGGGCGUAAAGCGCACGUAGGCGGAUUGCUAAGUCAGGGGUGAAAUCCUGGAGCUCAACUCCAGAACUGCCUUUGAUACUGAGGAUCUUGAGUACGGGAGAGGUGAGUGGAACUGCGAGUGUAGAGGUGAAAUUCGUAGAUAUUCGGAGGAACACCAGUGGCGAAGGCGGCUCACUGGCCCGGUACUGACGCUGAGGUGCGAAAGCGUGGGGAGCAAACAGG
rnacentral:rRNA from 1 species